AAAGCUUAGUUAUUAUAACGCCUAAUUUCAUAAACACUAUUUUAAUCCUUCACUAAUACUGAGUAAUUCUAUAUUAUUAUAGAAAAUUUUAUGUUAAAACUAGUAACAAGAAAAGACUUUCUCUUUAAUGUAAGUGUAAAUCAGAAGGGACAAACCACUGAUAUUUAUCAUCAUUGAGCCAAAAGUAGAAACUCACCAAGAAAAUACUACUUUCACCUAUGUUAAUCUAACACCAGAACAUUACAAGAAAGAUUAAAAGAAAAAGAAGGAACUCGGCAAAUAUUAACCUCGCCUGUUUACCAAAAACAUCGCCUCUUGAAUUUUAUAAGAGGUCCAGCCUGCCCAGUGACUUUAUUCAACGGCCGCGGUAUCCUAACCGUGCGAAGGUAGCGUAAUCACUUGUUCUUUAAAUAAGGACUAGUAUGAAUGGCACCACGAAGGUUAUACUGUCUCCUUUUUCUAAUCAGUGAAACUGAUCUUCCCGUGAAGAAGCGGGAAUAUUAAUAUAAGACGAGAAGACCCUAUGGAGCUUAAAACAUCCCAACAUUUGCUUAAAACUUUAAAUUUCAGAACAUUUUACUCCCUCAAGCAAUAUGAUUGUAAGUUUUUGGUUGGGGUGACCGCGGAGAACAAUACAACCUCCACGUUGAAAGAAUUUAUUCUAAGCUAAGAAUUACUAAUCUAAGCAUCAAUACACUGACAUUUCUUGACCCAAUAUAUUUGAUCAACGAACCAAGUUACCCUAGGGAUAACAGCGCAAUCUACUUUGAGAGCUCCUAUCGACAAGUGGGUUUACGACCUCGAUGUUGGAUCAGGUAUCCUAGUGGUGUA
rnacentral:rRNA from 1 species